rnacentral:misc_RNA from 1 species
GAUGAAGAACGCAGCGAAUUGCGAUAUGUAAUGUGAAUUGCAGAUUUUCAGUGAAUCAUCGAAUCUUUGAACGCACAUUGCGCCCCUUGGUAUUCCGAGGGGCAUGCCUGUUCGAGCGUCAUUAUAACCCCUCAAGCUCAGCUUGGUGUUGGGGCCUGCUGCACUGGCAGCCCUUAAAAUCAGUGGCGGCGCCAUCUGGCUCUAAGCGUAGUAAUUCUUCUCGCUAUGGAGUCCUGGUGGAUGCUUGCCAUCAACCCCCAAUUUUUCUAUGGUUGACCUCGGAUCAGGUAGGGAUACCCGCUGAACUUAAGCAUAUCAAUAAGCGGAGGA